GAUGACAGGAUGAUCUUUCCUAAGAGCUCACAUCGAUGGGAAGGUUUGGCACCUCGAUGUCGGCUUUUCGCCACCUGGGGGUUGUAGUAUGUUCCAAGGGUUGGGUUGUUCGCUCAUUAAAGCAAUACGUGAGCUGGUUUCAGAACGCCGUGAGACAGUUC
rfam:Glycine max cultivar Williams 82 chromosome 20, whole genome shotgun sequence.